UCCUCCACCUCACUCCCUGUGCAUUAUGUAGAUAACCCGGGGACGCCAUAUAUCCCCAGCAGGUCAAACGGAGGUCGCAAUCACACACUGUGACAGUGGAAGCCAAUCCCAGUCCAUCAUGGAGGAGGGGAGGGAACUGUGGUUCUCUGACUAAAUAUCUCUGCUGAUCCCUGCUCCUCUGCUGCUGUGAUCAAGCUCAGGGAGAGUGGAUUUGACAGACAAAGAACAGCUGGCCCACCUGUUCGAAGUGAUCCAAGGAGCCACAGUUUUUCACAUGCACCUCUGCUGCCCCUUGUGGCUUCACUGGAGCCUGCAGUCUUUUGUGGAGAGGCAGAUGAGGGAUGGAUGAGAAGAAAAGCAGCAGGGAAAGCAGGAGCUAGCUCCUGCUGGACAGGAAACACACACGUUUACCUUGCAAGCAGUCGCGGUGUGAGUGUGUUGGACACCUAACACUGGGGGCUGAUGGUGUCUCUGUAUUUUUGUC